AGCGAACGCUGGCGGCAGGCCUAAUACAUGCAAGUCGAGCGCCCCUUCGGGGGAGCGGCGGACGGGUGAGUAACGCGUGGGAACGUGCCCUUUGGUACGGAAUAACUCAGGGAAACUUGAGCUAAUACCGUAUGUGCCCUUCGGGGGAAAGAUUUAUCGCCAUUGGAGCGGCCCGCGUCUGAUUAGCUAGUUGGUGAGGUAAAGGCUCACCAAGGCUACGAUCAGUAGCUGGUCUGAGAGGAUGAUCAGCCACAUUGGGACUGAGACACGGCCCAAACUCCUACGGGAGGCAGCAGUGGGGAAUCUUGGACAAUGGGCGCAAGCCUGAUCCAGCCAUGCCGCGUGAGUGAUGAAGGCCCUAGGGUUGUAAAGCUCUUUUGUGCGGGAAGAUAAUGACGGUACCGCAAGAAUAAGCCCCGGCUAACUUCGUGCCAGCCGCCGCAGUAA
rnacentral:rRNA from 1 species